GCCUCUGUGGUGAAGUGGUAGCACACGUCCCCGGUAUGGAUGAAACGCGGGUUAAAUUCCCGUCUGAUACU